UGGGGAAUAUUGCACAAUGGGCGAAAGCCUGAUGCAGCAACGCCGCGUGAGGGACGACGGCCUUCGGGUUGUAAACCUCUUUAGCAAGGAAGAAGCGAAAAGUGACGGUACUUGCAGAAAAAGCGCCGGCUAACUACGUGCCAGCCAGCCGCGGUAAUACGUAGGGCGCAAGCGUUAUCCGGAAUUAUUGGGGCGUAAAGAGCUCGUAGGCGGUUUGUCGCGUCUGCUGCGAAAACCCGAGGCUCAACCUCGGGCCUGCAGUGGGUACGGGCAGACUAGAGUGCCGGUAGGGGAGAUUGGAACUCCUGGUGUAGCGGUGGAAUGCGCAGAUAUCAGGAAGAACACCGAUGGCGAAGGCAGAUCUCUGGGCCGUAACUGACGCUGAGGAGCGAAA
rnacentral:rRNA from 1 species